rnacentral:rRNA from 1 species
AGUGAACGCUGGCGGUAGGCCUAACACAUGCAAGUCGAACGGCAGCACAGUAAGAGCUUGCUCUUACGGGUGGCGAGUGGCGGACGGGUGAGGAAUACAUCGGAAUCUACUUUUUCGUGGGGGAUCACGUAGGGAAACUUACGAUAAUACCGCAUACGACCUACGGGUGAAAGCAGGGGGUCUUCGGACCUUGCGCGAUUGAAUGAGCCGAUGUCGGAUUAGCUAGUUGGCGGGGUAAAGGCCCACCAAGGCGACGAUCCGUAGCUGGUCUGAGAGGAUGAUCAGCCACACUGGAACUGAGACACGGUCCAGACUCCUACGGGAGGCAGCAGUGGGGAAUAUUGGACAAUGGGCGCAAGCCUGAUCCAGCCAUACCGCGUGGGUGAAGAAGGCCUUCGGGUUGUAAAGCCCUUUUGUUGGGAAAGAAAAGCAGCAGGUUAAUACCCCGCUGUUCUGACGGUACCCAAAGAAUAAGCACCGGCUAACUUCGUG